UGUUCAGCCAAACGGCAAAACAAAAGCAGGGAGCAUAUAAAUGCCCACAUCAGAUUCAAGCUUCUGGGAAAAAGUUGCAUCGAUUAUGAUGAAGUUCUGCGUAUUCAAACUGCACAACACAACGAUAAAGUAAGAAGAAACAGGGAUGUUAUCAAACUGCUUAUUAACACCACUGCGUUUUUGGGUGUGUAAUAAUUUGCUUUUAGAGGACACGACGAGAGGGAAAGCUCUGCCAACAAAGGCAACUACAAGGAGUUUGAAGAGUCAAAUCCUGUCCUGUACUGUCAAGCCUCUGAACACCUCAACUCAUGCCUCAUACCCUCAUUCAAUCACUGUUGUGAUCCCUUUCCAACACUGUGACAAUGACCCAACACACCUCCAGGCUGUGUAAGGGCUAUUUGACCAAGAAUGAGAGUGAUGGAGUGCUGCAUCAGAUGACCUGGCCUCCACAAUCACCCGACCUAAACCCAAUUGAGAUGGUUUGGGAUGAGUUGGACUGCAGAGUGAAUGAAAAGCAGCCAACAAGUGCGCAGCAUAUUUGGAAACUCCUUCAAGACUGUUGGAAAAGCAUUCCUUAUAUUUUUGUUAUAUUUGUUUAACACUUCUUUGGUUACUACAUGAUUCCAUAUGUGCUAUUUCAUAGUUUUGAUGUCUUCACUAUCAUCCUACAAUGUAGAAAAUA